rnacentral:lncRNA from 1 species
UGUGUGAAAAACUUCUUCCUAAUAUCUAACCUGAACCUUCCCUAUCUGAGUUUAAAACCAUUCCCCCUUGUCCUAUCACUAUCCACCCUUGUAAACAGGGUUCAAAAGUUUCCCACCAGACAGCAGCAAGUUCUGUUGUCCAAGCAGAGGUGUUGGACUCUCCCUGCAGAAGCAUUUUCAGGCUUUCAGAUUGUGCAAUCCCUCCAGUGGAACAAUUGUAUGGAGCCUCCCUCAUACCUCAUCUGCAACCUGCUGGCUUGUUGGAUUUUUGUUUAAUUCUGGUUUAAUUGAGGAGGCGUUUAUGAAAGCAGAGCAGGAUCAGGCCCAGAAAGCAUAUUGCAAGUGAGAUUCUGUCAGGUUCGAUCUGCCUUUUUUCCAAAUGUCUUUGAUGUUUCCCAUCUCUCUCCUGAGCCCUAUUUAAAUCAGUAGGAACUGAUUUAAAUAUUCGCUUGCUGGAUUGCCUUAAUGUAAAACUUUACACAUUUACAUUCUAUUUGCUGUAAAGGUGGAAGAAAUUUCCCAUGAUAAUUGUUUUAGGAGGGAGUCCCCGCACCAUCAUUCACAGCUACAAAGUCUAUGUCACUUACAUCAGCCUUCCCAACUGAGAAUUACGUGCAUUUAAAUCUCUCCCACUAGUUCUUUAAGAGAAAAUGCUCUGAAGACUUCCACAUAUUAAAAUACCUGGGUACAUUCCCUUAUGGGUAAAAUUCCGAAAUACCUCCUCAUAGUCUUAUAAAUCUUCAGUGAGAAUGACAGAAAAUGCUACACGUCCAGCUCUUAGAGGAAAUAAGGUACACAUUAACAGCAUUAGAAACCUACUUGAUUUCUGCAGAAAUGUCUUAGCACAAAGCAGUGCGUACAGCUGGGUUACAUUAGCAGGUAAGCCUCAUCCACGAGCCUCCUGGCAUCAGACAGCUGAACAAAAAUGUCAACAGAGAUGUUGAUUGUAGAGUCUGUCUGUUUGGUUUUCUUUAAUGGGUCAGGCAAGGUCGCUGCACAUUAAGCUUGGGGUUUAAGGUCUUAAUCAAAAGCCUUCAACAGAGUGGUAGCUGUUCUUCUGGAUGAAGACAUUAAGCUCAGACCCAGUGCUGUCAAUAGCUAGGAGUCACCUGAUGGCACAAUGGGUUAGGAGCGAAGCAGAAUCUCCCAUUCUCCAUUCAAGCCUCUUCUUGCACAGUGUGAGAUUUUGUUGGCUUCAACAGAGGCAUACUCGCAGCCUCAGGAGUCUUUGUGGCCACUAAGGUAGUGGCUUAAUGAAGUCUUGGUG